UAUUCACAGGAAGAGGAGGGAGGGGACUAGAAAACAAUACUGCAGUACCGGACCUGGGAUUUCAGGUAGUCUGUGGAAGCACACAGGUGAACAGAGGCCAGGAGGCCUUUGUUUGGGGAUAUGAGCAGAGACUUGAGGAGGGACAUCUGUGGGAAUAGCUGCGGAGACAGAGGCCUUUCUCUAAGAGACACAAGCUUUCCUGGGAAGAAGGGGAGCUAAGAGAUCUGAGGGUAUGGCAUUUUAACAAAAAGAGCCUCUAACACAGACAUGCCAGCUUCUGCAGCACCCUUUAGCUCCUCCAAGAAGACGGAAGACCUUCCACCUCCAGGCCUCGCCUUUGGGUUUGGUAGACUGGCAAGCACUGCUUCUAGGACUAUUCUUCUCCAAGGACCAAGUGGUUAGCAAAAUUCAUCGAAUUGCGCGUAAGAAGUACAUGGAAAUUUCGUCUUAAAAUAGGACUCCCAACCCCAUGCCCAGAUACUCUGCCUUAAUUUGUCUGAGGAAGGGUGGAGAGUCAGCCUUUGCCUGGAGACCUUGACUUCACCCCACGGAGGCUGUUCUCAUAUACUCAGCAUUGUGGGAGAAGUAAGAUCAGCUGACCACCAAAACAAGCUUGGCACUGGAUAAAACAACCCAACCUUCACAACAAGAAACUUCACAGAGCACGAACUUGGUCCCAGAGCCGAUGGGAACGAGUGAGGUAAUUGGUGCCGAGUGUAGAUUCAUGUUCCCAUGAAACCAAACAAUGACCAUUGAUGUUCCUUUUCUCUCUCAAAGAAACUUGCUUUGAGUAUGUUCUAUCCUCAAUAAACUAAAUAGUCUUUUGGA